UCGAAGUAUUGGAGUUUUUGGAAAUGUGUGCACCCUACGAAAAAGAAGUAAGGAAAGUGAAAAGACGGCGAUUACGCGACCAAUCCAAUCAAAAUGAACAAUUUAGAAAACGUUAUGAUCUAAAUAAAGAUUUGGUGCGUAAUAUGCGUGCGAACUCAUAUGCCGGUAUCAUCGAAAUUUACAGACCUACCAGUGGAAACUAAGGUUUUAUAAUUGGAAUUUGGAAUGCUGGGUGUAUUGGGCUGUAUUUGACUGUACACAUGCCACCCCAUUGUAAAUUAAGAAGAGAUAUUACUGUAGAAAACAAUACCAUUCAUUAAAUAUAUAAUUGGUUAGUAAUGCUGACAUGGACAUUAUGAGUGUGGAUG